rnacentral:rRNA from 1 species
AUUGAACGCUGGCGGCAGGCCUAACACAUGCAAGUCGAACGAGUGGCGGACGGGUGAGUAAUGUCUGGGAAACUGCCUGAUGGCGGGGGAUAACUACUGGAAACGGUAGCUAAUACCGCAUACCAUCAGAUGUGCCCAGAUGGGAUUAGCGUGUUGGUGGGGUAACGGCUAACCAAGGCCACGAUCCCUAGCUGGUCUGAGAGGAUGACCGGGGACACUGGAAAUGAGACACGGGCCAGACUCCUGAGGGAGGCAGCAGUGGGGAAUAUUGCACAAGGGGCGCAAGCCUGAUGCAGCCAAGCCGCGUUGAGGAAGAAGGCCUUCGGGUUGGAAAGUACUUUCAGCGGGGAGGCGUUACCCGCAGAAGAAGCACCGGCUAACUCCGUGCCAGCAGCCGCGGGAAUUC